CAGCCGCGUAAUUCCAGCUCCAAUAGCGUAUAUUAAAGUUGUUGCAGUUAAAAAGCUCGUAGUUGAAUUUCGGGAUCAAUGUUUCGGUCAUGCCGUUGGUAUGUACUGAUAUUAUUGAUUUCUCACCUUCUAAAGAACCGUAAUGCCAUUAAUUUGGUGUCACGGGGAAUUAGGACUGUUACCUUGAAAAAAUUAGAGUGUUUAAAGCAGGCUCACGCUUGAAUACAUUAGCAUGGAAUAAUGAAAUAGGACAUCCGAUUCUAUUUUGUUGGUUUCUAGGAUCGAUGUAAUGAUUAAUAGGGAUAGUUGGGGGCAUUAGUAUUCAAUUGUCAGAGGUGAAAUUCUUGGAUUUAUUGAAGACUAACUACUGCGAAAGCAUUUGCCAAGGAUGUUUUCAUUAAUCAAGAACGAAAGUUAGGGGAUCGAAGACGAUCAGAUACCGUCGUAGUCUUAACCAUAAACUAUGCCGACUAGGGAUCGGAUGAUGUUAAUUUUUUAAUGACUCAUUCGGCGCCUUACG
rnacentral:misc_RNA from 1 species